UCUGUCUGCUUGGCUGCUGCUUGCUGCGACAAUUGCACGUGACGCUUUUCGCGAAAGGGCGAUCUGAAGUGCGUCAUGCCGACCAUAGUCAAGUACUACGGGAAUUACUGCUGUGUUGCGAGGUGCAGUAACAACGGCAGGACAGGGAGAGAGCGUGGUUGGCUG